CCCUGCUCCCCGAACAUGUGAGGCUGUGACCUACGUCUGUGCCUAUGACUAUGAGUGACAGAGCCUCCGUCUCCCCAUCAAUUCGAAUAUCUUCCAUUCUCUUGCCUCCCUUCCUCUCUCCCAGAUCUGCUCAUCUCAGAUCCAGCUCCCCCGAGAAUCUCGUCGUUCAAAAGAGAAGCUCGCCUUGCCGCUGGUGGUGGUGUUGGUGACGGUGCCUCCCUGCGCCAACACAACCGUCGAUGGUGCUGAGAGCGAGAGAGACAUGAAAGGAGGAGGGAGCGACAGAAGGGAGGACUCCCUCACCUGCAAUGCGAUUUGACUCCCCUUCAUCCGUAUCCUGAUGUGCAGUCACCAGAUCCAUGUCUCGAGACAAGAAAUCAAUCACACCUCACCGCAAAAUUCACAUUAAGUGUGGACAGAGUAAUAAGGGGUGGGGGUGCAGCUGAGCGGAGGACGAGGCAGCUCGCCCAGGGCCAGAUGGAGGAUGCGUGCGCACGGAGUGACCAUGCCGACGGCUGCUCGUGCAGGCCAUUCACCACCCGUGCCGGCAGCUUUGUUUCGCCUUGGUUCCCAUCGACUGUUGUUAUCCCACUCCUCCCCGAUUACGAGUAGGUCGCAAUCUUUUUUAUGAUCGAUGCAUCCUGGAGUAACAAGCAAGUCUUGUUUAAUUUGAUGUUAUCCAGUCGGACGCGGUGGAUAGAUGUUUUUCAUGAGGAUGCUAUGGCCUUUCCUGAGAACAAUGUGAAUCUGUGAUGUCCAGCAGCACUAGCUGGAGGGACUGAUGUGACGUAAACAUUGUUUCACACGAUAUUUUUAGUGCAGGCAAUUGGGACAUCCACUGUGAGGACUUUAUAGAAGAAUUUUAGCCUAUUUACUCUGAACUUUUUUGGUUCAUGAGCUGGAUAAUAAAACGUAUAUAUAUAUAUUUUUUACAGGA